rnacentral:rRNA from 1 species
GGGGCUAGCGUUGCUCGGAAUCACUGGGCGUAAAGCGCACGUAGGCGGCUUUUUAAGUCAGGGGUGAAAUCCUGGAGCUCAACUCCAGAACUGCCUUUGAUACUGGGAAGCUUGAGUCCGGGAGAGGUGAGUGGAACUCCGAGUGUAGAGGUGAAAUUCGUAGAUAUUCGGAAGAACACCAGUGGCGAAGGCGGCUCACUGGCCCGGUACUGACGCUGAGGUGCGAAAGCGUGGGGAGCAAACAGG